GAUGAACGCUGGCGGCGUGCCUAAUACAUGCAAGUCGAGCGAACGGACGAGAAGCUUGCUUUUCUGAUGUUAGCGGCGGACGGGUGAGUAACACGUGGAUAACCUACCUAUAAGACUGGGAUAACUUCGGGAAACCGGAUCUAACACCGGAUAAUAUUUUGAACCGCAUGGUUCAAAAGUGAAAGACGGUCUUGCUGUCACUUAUAGAUGGAUCCGCGCUGCAUUAGCUAGUUGGUAAGGUAACGGCUUACCAAGGCAACGAUGCAUAGCCGACCUGAGAGGGUGAUCGGCCACACUGGAACUGAGACACGGUCCAGACUCCUACGGGAGGCAGCAGUAGGGAAUCUUCCGCAAUGGGCGAAAGCCUGACAGAGCAACGCCGCGUGAGUGAUGAAGGUCUUCGGAUCGUAAAACUCUGUUAUUAGGGAAGAACAUAUGUGUAAGUAACUGUGCACAUCUUGACGGUACCUAAUCAGAAAGCCACGGCUAACUACGUG
rnacentral:rRNA from 1 species